rnacentral:rRNA from 1 species
AUUGAACGCUGGCGGCAGGCCUAACACAUGCAAGUCGAGCGGUAACACAGAGGAGCUUGCUCCUUGGGUGACGAGCGGCGGACGGGUGAGUAAUGCCUGGGGAUCUGCCCGAUAGAGGGGGAUAACUACGGGAAACUGUAGCUAAUACCGCAUAAUGUCUACGGACCAAAGUGGGGGCUCUUCGGACCUCAUGCUAUCGGAUGAACCCAGGUGGGAUUAGCUAGUUGGCGAGGUAAUGGCUCACCAAGGCGACGAUCUCUAACUGGUUUGAGAGAAUGACCAGUCACACUGGAACUGAGACACGGUCCAGACUCCUACGGGAGGCAGCAGUGGGGAAUAUUGCACAAUGGGCGCAAGCCUGAUGCAGCCAUGCCGCGUGUGUGAAGAAGGCCUUCGGGUUGUAAAGCACUUUCAGCGGGGAGGAAGGGCUACUAGUUAAUACCUAGUGGCAUUGACGCUACUCGCAGAAGAAGCACCGGCUAACUCCGUGCCAGCAGCCGCCGUAAAAC